AGACAGACCAAGAACCCACAACACUGUUCCUAUAGAAGAGGAGAGUCAAGAGAAGAAGACUGAACUGAUGAAGACACAGAAAGACGUGCAGCUGAUGAUCAAGAAUAGAAUCAAGAAGAUUCAAGACAUCAAACACUCAGCAGAAGUCAGAAAAAGAAACACAGAGAAGGAG